UGAGGAAUUUUGCGCAAUGGGAGCAAUCCUGACGCAGCAACGCCGCGUGGGUGAAGAAGGCCUUCGGGUCGUAAAGCCCUGUCAGGUGGGAAGAAGGGUCCUAUCAGGAAAGGGGUGGGAUUUGACGGUACCACCAGAGGAAGCACCGGCUAACUCCGUGCCAGCAGCCGCGGUAAUACGGAGGGUGCGAGCGUUAUUCGGAAUUACUGGGCGUAAAGCGCGUGUAGGCGGGGGAGCAAGUCUGAUGUGAAAGCCCCGGGCUUAACCCGGGAAGUGCAUUGGAUACUGUCGAACUAGAGUACAGGAGGGGUGAGCGGAAUUCCAGGUGUAGAGGUGAAAUUCGUAGAUAUCUGGAGGAACAACAGCGGCGAAGGCGGCUCACUGGACUGUAACUGACGCUCAGAUGCGAUAGUG
rnacentral:rRNA from 1 species